ensembl:lncRNA novel transcript
ACAUCUAUCAGGAGAAAGCUGUCAGUCUCUGAAGCAUGUUCUUUUUUCAAGCCCAGAGAGACUCCACUUCACCACCUUAUCUUGCCCAAGGCUCCAAGCGUAUGUUCCUGAUGCUUCUUUAAAUCCCCAAAGUGCGAAGGCAUGCCUGAUAUAUUUGACAUUCAGUAAAUAUUAAUGAAUGAUGACUUUUCUGUGGUGAAAUGCACCCCACUUUCACUGUUCCUUUCGGAUUUGCACUUACUUGGAUACUUGUGGAUGAUUCUGAAGAGCUGGUUGUUCACAUCUGUCUCUGUUAUGUGGCAGAGAUAUUUCUCAUUUAACUUGACAGGGUAUUUCAGGAUGGAGAACACCCUGUAGAAGCCAUUCAUCUGCUCCUCCAGGAUUUCCACGAUGCUGUGGUUGCUCAGGUCCCUCUCUGUCCGGUCCAGCCAUGUCACAAUGGGCGUGAGAAAACUCAAGAUUUUCAGUGCCCUUCACAAAGGAGAAAUGACAGGAGAGGGUAACAUCAGUGAAUGGGUGGGCCCGCAGCUCCUCUGUAGACACCGAGAAUGUCAAAGAAGAAAUGAAGUUAAUAAAGACCAAUCAGCACUGCAUCAGGCUCAACAACACUGCAGUACUGGUCUUCUGGAAGAACAGUUGCCUCUGCCUUAUCAAGAAGCUGGUGAUGCAGGAAGUCAUCACCACGGGUGUUGCUUCCAUAGCCAAUCUGCACCUGCUAGAUUGCACUGGCCAAUGAAAGAAUGCGUCAUGCACUAUAACCUUUCUCCCCACUUCAAUCAGUUGCCAUUUAAUUCUUGAGAAAAUAUAUCUGAUUGGCAGACUCUA